GAUGAACGCUGGCGGCGUGCUUAACACAUGCAAGUCGAACAAUUAAGACCCCUUCGGGGGUGUAUAGAGUGGCGCACGGGUGAGUAACACGUGGAUAAUCUGCCUUUAAGCGAGGAAUAACACUUCGAAAGGAGUGCUAAUACCUCAUAAUGUUGUUUUUUCUUCGGAGAGAACAGCCAAAGGUGACCUCUGUCUCAAGUUGCCGUUUAAAGAUGAGUCCGCGGCCCAUUAGCUUGUUGGCAGGGUAAAAGCCUACCAAGGCAACGAUGGGUAGCUGGUCUGAGAGGAUGAUCAGCCACACUGGGACUGAGACACGGCCCAGACUCCUACGGGAGGCAGCAGUGGGGAAUUUUGGACAAUGGGCGCAAGCCUGAUCCAGCAAUGCCGCGUGCAGGAAGAAGGCCUUCGGGUCGUAAAGCCCUGUCAAAUGGGAAGAAACCCAUCGGUGCGAAUAGCACCGGUGAUUGACGGUACCACCGGAGGAAGCACCGGCUAACUCCGUGCCAGCCGCCGCCGUAACAC
rnacentral:rRNA from 1 species